rnacentral:rRNA from 1 species
GAUGAACGCUAGCUACAGGCUUAACACAUGCAAGUCGAGGGGAAACGACAUCGCAAGCUUGCUUUUGAUGGGCGUCGACCGGCGCACGGGUGAGUAACGCGUAUCCAACCUGCCCACCACUUGGGGAUAACCUUGCGAAAGUAAGACUAAUACCCAAUGACGUCUCUAGAAGACAUCUGAAAGAGAUUAAAGAUUUAUCGGUGAUGGAUGGGGAUGCGUCUGAUUAGCUUGUUGGCGGGGUAACGGCCCACCAAGGCGACGAUCAGUAGGGGUUCUGAGAGGAAGGUCCCCCACAUUGGAACUGAGACACGGACCAAACUACUACGGGAGGCAGCAGUGAGGAAUAGUAGUCAAUGGACGGGAGUCUGAGCCAGCCAAGUAGAGUGCAGGAUGACGGCCCUAUGGGUUGUAAACUGCUUUUAUAAGGGAAUAAAGUGAGUCUCGUGAGACUUUUUGCAUGUACCUUAUGAAUAAGGACCGGCUAAUUCCGUG